AUUAAUUCGCACUAAGUAAAAGCCAGGAGUUCUGGGUGCGGACCCGCAGCGUGUGUGGCACCUACACGCUAAGUACAGGUCCUUCCUCUGGAGGUCGCUUGUCCUGGAGGCGCAGGAAACCUUGAGG
rfam:Bos taurus Ctg57.CH240-317I9, whole genome shotgun sequence.